rnacentral:rRNA from 1 species
AACGCUGCCGCGUGCCUAUACAUGCAGUCGACGCUUCUUUUUCCACCGGAGCUUGCUCCACCGGAAAAAGAGGAGUGGCGAACGGGUGAGUAACACGUGGGUAACCUGCCCAUCAGAAGGGGAUAACACUUGGAAACAGGUGCUAAUACCGUAUAACAAUCGAAACCGCAUGGUUUUGAUUUGAAAGGCGCUUUCGGGUGUCGCUGAUGGAUGGACCCGCGGUGCAUUAGCUAGUUGGUGAGGUAACGGCUCACCAAGGCGACGAUGCAUAGCCGACCUGAGAGGGUGAUCGGCCACAUUGGGACUGAGACACGGCCCAAACUCCUACGGGAGGCAGCAGUAGGGAAUCUUCGGCAAUGGACGAAAGUCUGACCGAGCAACGCCGCGUGAGUGAAGAAGGUUUUCGGAUCGUAAAACUCUGUUGUUAGAGAAGAACAAGGAUGAGAGUAACUGUUCAUCCCUUGACGGUAUCUAACCAGAAAGCCACGGCUAACUACGUGCCAGCAGCCGCGGUAAUACGUAGGUGGCAAGCGUUGUCCGGAUUUAUUGGGCGUAAAGCGAGCGCAGGCGGUUUCUUAAGUCUGAUGUGAAAGCCCCCGGCUCAACCGGGGAGGGUCAUUGGAAACUGGGAGACUUGAGUGCAGAAGAGGAGAGUGGAAUUCCAUGUGUAGCGGUGAAAUGCGUAGAUAUAUGGAGGAACACCAGUGGCGAAGGCGGCUCUCUGGUCUGUAACUGACGCUGAGGCUCGAAAGCGUGGGGAGCAAACAGGAUUAGAUACCCUGGUAGUCCACGCCGUAAACGAUGAGUGCUAAGUGUUGGAGGGUUUCCGCCCUUCAGUGCUGCAGCUAACGCAUUAAGCACUCCGCCUGGGGAGUACGACCGCAAGGUUGAAACUCAAAGGAAUUGACGGGGGCCCGCACAAGCGGUGGAGCAUGUGGUUUAAUUCGAAGCAACGCGAAGAACCUUACCAGGUCUUGACAUCCUUUGACCACUCUAGAGAUAGAGCUUCCCCUUCGGGGGCAAAGUGACAGGUGGUGCAUGGUUGUCGUCAGCUCGUGUCGUGAGAUGUUGGGUUAAGUCCCGCAACGAGCGCAACCCUUAUUGUUAGUUGCCAUCAUUUAGUUGGGCACUCUAGCAAGACUGCCGGUGACAAACCGGAGGAAGGUGGGGAUGACGUCAAAUCAUCAUGCCCCUUAUGACCUGGGCUACACACGUGCUACAAUGGGAAGUACAACGAGUC